AACCUACCUCUAUCAGGGGGAUAGCCUCUCAAAAGAGAGAUUAACACCGCAUAACAUAUGUGACCGGCAUCGGUUGGAUAUUAAAUAUUUAUAGGAUAGAGAUGGGCUCGCGUGACAUUAGCUAGUUGGUAGGGUAACGGCUUACCAAGGCGACGAUGUCUAGGGGCUCUGAGAGGAGAAUCCCCCACACUGGUACUGAGACACAGACCAGACUCCUACGGGAGGCAGCGGUAAGGAAUAUUGGUCAAUGGGCGGAAGCCUGAACCAGCCAUGCCGCGUGCAGGACGACUGCCCUAUGGGUUGUAAACUGCUUUUGUCCAGGAAUAAACCUAGAUACGUGUAUCUAGCUGAAUGUACUGGAAGAAUAAGGAUCGGCUAACUCCGUGCCAGCAGCCGCGGUAAUACGGAGGAUCCGAGCGUUAUCCGGAUUUAUUGGGUUUAAAGGGUGCGUAGGCGGCCUAUUAAGUCAGGGGUGAAAUACGGUGGCUCAACCAUCGCAGUGCCUUUGAUACUGAUGGGCUUGAAUCCAUUUGAAGUGGGCGGAAUAAGACAAGUAGCGGUGAAAUGCAUAGAUAUGUCCUUAAGAACUCCCGAUUGC
rnacentral:rRNA from 1 species